AGAGUUUGAUCCUGGCUCAGGAUGAACGCUGGCGGCACGCUUAACACAUGCAAGUCGAACGAAGUGGGAAAGUUUACUUUUACACUUAGUGGCGGACGGGUGCGUAACGCGUGGGUAACCUACCCUUGACAGGGGGAUAACGUAUAGAAAUGUACGCUAAUACCGCAUAAGCCCACGGAGUCGCAUGGCUCUGAGGGAAAAGCCGAGACGGUCAAGGAUGGGCCCGCGUCUGAUUAGGUAGUUGGCAGGGUAAAGGCCUACCAAGCCCACGAUCAGUAGCCGGUCUGAGAGGAUGGACGGCCACAUUGGGACUGAGACACGGCCCAAACUCCUACGGGAGGCAGCAGUGGGGAAUAUUGCACAAUGGGGGAAACCCUGAUGCAGCGAAUGCCGCGUGAAGGAAGAAGUGUUUCGGCACGUAAACUUCUAUCAGCAAGGAAGAAAUCGGACAGUACUUGAGUAAGCAGCCCCGGCUAACUACGUGCCAGCAGCUGC
rnacentral:rRNA from 1 species